rnacentral:rRNA from 1 species
AUUCCAGCUCCAAUAGCGUAUAUUAAAGUUGUUGCAGUUAAAACGCUCGUAGUCGGAUUUCGGGGCGGGCCGACCGGUCUGCCGAUGGGUAUGCACUGUUUGUUGGCACUUCUUUUCUGGGGCACUCACUGCUCUUAAUUGAGGGGUGCUGUAACGCAGAUCGUUUACUUUGAAAAAAUUAGAGUGUUCAAAGCAGGCCAACGCAUUGAAUACAUUAGCAUGGAAUAAUGGAAUAGGACUUUGGUCUUAUUUUGUUGGUUUCUAAGGCCGAGGUAAUGAUUAAUAGGGAUAGUUGGGGGCGUUUAUAUUCCGUUGUCAGAGGUGAAAUUCUUGGAUUUACGGAAGAUAAACUACUGCGAAAGCAUUCGCCAAGGAUGUUUUCAUCG